UCGUGACCCUUAAACAAACCAGACCGCGAACGCGUCCCUCGUGCCGCCGGGCUUCGGCCCGGCACGAGGUCCCCGAGCUCCGUCCCGGAGCGGAGGGGCCACAACAGAACCCACGGCGCCUUAGGCGUCAAGGAACACCUAAAUUGCCUUGCGCGGUGGAGCGGUCGGCCCGCCUUCCGCUCCCCGCGCAGCGAUGAUAUCUUAAUC
rnacentral:misc_RNA from 1 species